rnacentral:rRNA from 1 species
UACGUAGGGGGCAAGCGUUGUCCGGAUUUAUUGGGCGUAAAGAGCGUGUAGGCGGCCAGGUAGGUCCGUUGUGAAAACUCGAGGCUCAACCUCGAGACGCCGAUGGAAACCCCCUGGCUAGAGUCCGGAAGAGGAGAGUGGAAUUCCUGGUGUAGCGGUGAAAUGCGCAGAUAUCAGGAGGAACACCGGUGGCGAAGGCGGGUCUCUGGGCCGAUACUGACGCUGAGGAGCGAAAGCGUGGGGAGCGAACAGG